rnacentral:rRNA from 1 species
GAUUGCAGGCUGCAACCCGCCUGCAUGAAGUCGGAAUUGCUAGUAAUCGCGGAUCAGCAUGCCGCGGUGAAUACGUUCCCGGGCCUUGUACACACCGCCCGUCACACCAUGGGAGCCGGUAAUACCCGAAGUCAGUAGUCCAACCUCGUGAGGACGCUGCCGAAGGUAGGAUUGGCGACUGGGGUGAAGUCGUAACAAGGUAGC